UUCUGUUAUGAGAAAAGGCAUAUAAAAAGCUAUAAUUUUUCUUGUGACAAGUUUCUCAUUGCUGUAAAUGAUUUUUUGUGGCACAUUCUUUUUUAUCAUGCAAAUGUUUAUCCAUAAGAAAUCUGAGUUCAGAUAUUUGUUAUGUUAACCUAAUCCACUAUUUUAAGAAACUUUCUUUCACAUGGAUAAAGGAACUAAGGAAGGGG
rnacentral:lncRNA from 1 species